AAAGGAAAGACCAGAUUCAUUCUCUACUGUAAUAUCGCAUUUGCUUUUUAGGCACUCUGUUAAUCGUGUAGGAUGUUACUUUCAAAAUACACCAGCGGUUUUUACUCAAGGGUAUACAUCUAUAUUUACAUACGUAUAUAUUUUCAAUGUGAGCGAAAUAUGGUGCUAUCCCAAAUAAUAAAAACAAUGAUAAUAGUCACAUGGUAAAACUAUGCACCUGUAUUUAUUGUUUGUCAGUGGAUAGCACAAUGAAGCAUAUUUAGUUAAGACAGACUUUAAAAAGUAGAGUAUUAGAACGAAAACAGACGCACUGCUUUGCCAUAAAAGUGAAUGAAUUUGCAUGGAAACUUCUAAAUAAUUGAUUAAGCUGAAAAAAAGUGAAAUCCAAAAACACUGUGCAAAAGACACAAAACAUCAUUUGUAAUACAAACAAACAUUUUCCAUCUACAUAAUUCACUUUAUUCUCAUUUUGUUAUGACAAUUCUGUGUUUCUCACUGAAUAAUCAGUUCUGAAUAUGUGAGGUUUUUAAAUAAUUAAACAAAGCCGUGGCAAUUCUGUUGUGAUUUUAGAGAUUUGUUUUAGAUUAGUUUUUUUUUCUGUUCACUGAGGAACUGAAAUCAUGUCAUUUUUCGUUUCCUUGGGAAGAUGAUGGAAACAGCGGCAGUAAGACUGUCUAUUCUUCAACUUGUUUUUUCUCCCCCCUCAAACUUUUAUCUGACCUCAUCCAUUCCUGCUGCAUAAACGCCAGGGUCGCCCGGCCCACGUUUCCCGACACAUGCCCCCGUGAGCUGAACUGUCCAGGCCUUCCCUCCCAGGAAAGCCUUUCAAUACCGACUACAGGCACGGUUUUAUGAAGAUAAAUGAAACAAGAGAAAAAUUUUGAGUUGAGAAGACUGACCCCCUGCUACUACUUUUUCCCCCUGCCCCAUGGGGGUUAGUCACACACGAAAUACAGUUGCCUGACUUCUUCUCCCCGGCUGCGUAUCCUGUUAGCCGUGGGCUUCAGCGGACGCCUUCACCGGCGGCACCUCAUGUCGGCGUCUCUGACGGCCGCGCUCGCUACGUGACGCCGCAGUGCUGAGUUGUCAUGAUUGCAGAUCGCGCGAGUUCAUAUAGAUUUACUGUCACCGGGGGAGACCCCCACUUGCGUGACAGCGGUCACGGUGGCCCAGGCGGGAGCGGGAGGUGGGUAAGGGUUAAGUGUUACUUGCCUCCCGACUUGCUACAUCGUCCUCCCUGUUCCCACACGGAGACGAGCUGGUGGUAUAUCCAUCAUGGGGUUGAUGACAUGAUGGAUUACUGGUGUCACUCCUGGUACAGUCAAAAUCAGUCUGGCACUGAUAAGGUGCAGCAGCCACUCUGUUUCCAACCAAAGGGACCUAUUUUUCUUCCUUAUUAAAACAGAGGGAGCACCUCAGCCGAGACAAAUUAUUCUUACUGCCCGCAGUUUUAUUUUCAUUGCAUGUGAUUAAUGUGUUUUUGUUAUUAUUUACAGAUGUGAAAUCCGCUAGUGACAUCACUGUUGUAAAGUUAACCGUGCCACCUUGCUCGGAAACACACACAUGUGCUUGUUAACAGCUUUGCUGGGAAAAACCCAAAUUAAUAUCAGUCCUCGGUUUCAAAAUAUUGUUAUUUCUGCUUUUGCCUAUGCUCCCCUUGUUUUUGUUAUUGCUAUUAUCAAAAUUAUUGUUUUAUAUAUUUAAGAUUUCCAGACUGUAUAUUCAUUUUGUAACUGCUGUUGGACACAUCAUUGUUUUUGAAUCGGUUAUGGGAAACAUUUGCUGCAUUUUUGUAUCUAAAGUUGCUUGCAUAUGUGUAGUAGGUAAAUGUUUUUAGCAUUUUGUAAUUUUUACCUUUUAUUUGUUAACUUUCCACUAUUUCUGCUAUUUACUGUUUUAUUUUGUCAUUUAAGUGACUAUAUUUUUUAUUUUCAAUAACUGACACCUUGAAAGUUAUUUCUAAUUUUAUUCAAACCUUCAUUAUUAUUGGUUAUUGAUUGUCUUUUAAUAAUAUGAAAAAUAUAUAGAAAACCACAUAUCCUUGUAAACCUUCCUCUGUCAAGCAUCAGUAAAAUAAGAAGUAGUGUACAAUUACGCAUGCUUAAUUUAGAGUUCAGUGCAGUUCCUGCACUUCAUUAUGCAUAGACAUGAACAAUAGUUAUAGGGGUGUCUGCUGUGUUUAGCGUUACAGUGAAUGCCUUCAUUCAUAACAUAGUGUUUUUGUCAUUUUAAAUGCACUUUUAUGUUCAUGGAUCUAAACAGGGUUUAUACCUGAGGAGUAGGUUAGGAGGUCAGUGGGAGGCGUGGCCUUUGAAGCCUGCAGAAACACCUCCCUACCACUUUGUGUGCCCUUGAAUUGCAAAUUGUUUUGAAAUAUGCAUAAUGAGCUCAGAGGCAGAGUGUUUGGCUCUUUGUCUCCCUCACUCAGCCCUUAGUACAACUAAACGAGUUAAGAUGGGCCCUUUGAAUUACAAACCAUCCCGGUACUUAUUGAUGCUUCUGUGAGUGAAGUAGGUAAAUGGGAAAAAUUGGUGCAAU